CCUACGGGAGGCAGCAGUGAGGAAUCUUGGUCAAUGGGCGCGAGCCUGAACCAGCCAAGCCGCGUGAAGGAUGACUGCCCUCCGCGCUGUAAACUUCUUUUAUAAAGGAAUAAAGUAAGGCACGUGUGUCUCUUUGUUUGUACUUUAUGAAUUAGGAUCGGCUAACCUCGUUCCAUCCGCCCCGGUAAUACGGUAGGUGCGAGCGUAUUCCGGAUUUAUUGGGUUUAAAGGGAGCGUAGAUGGGUUGUUAAGUCAGUUGUGAAAGUUUGCGGCUCAACCGUAAAAUUGCAAUUGAUACUGGCAGCCUUGAGUACAGAUGAGGUAGGCGGAAUUCGUGGUGUAGCGGUGAAAUGCGUAGAUAUAACGAAGAACUCCGAUUGCGAAGGCAGCCUACUAAUCUGCCACUGACAUUGAUGCUCGAAAGUGUGGGUAGCAAACAGGAUUAGAUACCCUAGUAGUC
rnacentral:rRNA from 1 species